UUAGGAAUAUUCGUCAAUGGGGGAAACCCUGAACGAGCAAUGCCGCGUGAGUGAUGACGGUCUUUAUGAUUGUAAAACUCUGUUGUAAGGAACGAACCCUUAAGAUAGGAAAUGAUCUUAAGCUGACGGUACCUUACCAGAAAGCCCCGGCUAACUACGUGCCAGCAGCCGCGGUAAUACGUAGGGGGCGAGCGUUAUCCGGAUUUAUUGGGCGUAAAGUGUGCGUAGGCGGUUUAUUAAGUCUAAGAUUAAAGCCCGAGGCUUAACCUCGGUUCGUUUUAGAAACUGGUAGACUUGAGUGUGGUAGAGGCAAGUGGAAUUUCUAGUGUAGCGGUUAAAUGCGUAGAUAUUAGAAGGAACACCAGUGGCGAAGGCGGCUUGCUGGGCCAUUACUGACGCUGAGGCACGAAAGCGUGGGGAGCAAAUAGG
rnacentral:rRNA from 1 species